ACGUAGGGUGCAAGCGUUGUCCGGAUUUACUGGGCGUAAAGAGCGCGUAGGCGGCUCGUUAAGUGAGAAGUGAAAGCUCUUGGCUCAACCAAGAAACCGCUUUUCAUACUGGCGAGCUGGAGUGAUGCAGAGGUGGAUAGAAUUCCCGGUGUAGCGGUGAAAUGCGUUGAUAUCGGGAGGAAUACCCGUGGCGAAGGCGGUCCACUGGGCAUCAACUGACGCUGAGGCGCGAAAGCGUGGGUAGCAAACAGGA
rnacentral:rRNA from 1 species